rnacentral:rRNA from 1 species
UAAGAUUUCAGCAGUGAGGAAGUGGGUAUGUUAAUAGCAUAUUCAUUUGACGUUAGCUGCAGAAGAAGCACCGGCUAACUCCGUGCCAGCAGCCGCGGUAAUACGGAGGGUGCGAGCGUUAAUCGGAAUUACUGGGCGUAAAGCGCAUGCAGGUGGUUUGUUAAGUCAGAUGUGAAAGCCCGGGGCUCAACCUCGGAAUUGCAUUUGAAACUGGCAAACUAGAGUACUGUAGAGGGGGUAGAAUUUCAGGUGUAGCGGUGAAAUGCGUAGAGAUCUGAAGGAAUACCGGUGGCGAAGGCGGCCCCCUGGACAGAUACUGACACUCAGAUGCGAAAGCGUGGGGAGCAAACAGGAUUAGAUACCCUGGUAG